UAUGAGAUAGAUAGAUAGAUAGAUAGGAGAUAGAGAGAUAUGAGAUAGAUAGCUAGAUAGAUAGAGAGAUAUGAGAUAUAAGAAGGUAGAUAGAGAGCUAGAUAGAUAGAUCCAAUUUUGAUACAGAAACUGCAAAAAUAUUGUUAUAAGUGACUAUGACAAACAUUUAUAAUGAGCUAUUCUGACAGGGACUUAAAGCACAGGGAAAGUUGUGUGGCCGGGGUGACUCCCUGGGGAGUCGGUGGCUGCCAUAUAGGCACCCAACCUUGACACACAACAAACACUGGUGUCAAUUUCGUAGGACUUCAGAGUAGAUACCCAGAGCUGCAAGGCUAUGGUGCACUUCUAACCACUGAGCCAUCAUGCUACCCCCUGAUAACAGUUAAUAGGCCACAAUUACCAGCCACUGGGGGGGGGGGGGGGGUUGUAUCUCUCUCCCCAUAGAGAGGAGGAGUUAGAACAGUUUAGAGACAGUGUGUGUAUAGCAGUGUGUGCAGAAAGACACAAGAUUCAGUGUAGAGACAGUGGAUGUCUAGACAUUGAUGAGUGCACAUGUAGCUAAACACAGCUCCACAAGAAACACAAAGUUGAGAAAAGCGAAAAUAUAUACUUGAAAGGCAUUCCAGUGUUGAAAGGAGGUGCGAGUAGAUGCCCUGUGGAGAUCAACUGCUCAGCCAGAAGCUUCUAGACUCCAUAGCAGACUUGCACUUCACAAUUCCUAACCAUCAAGGACACCCCAAACCAUCAUCAGGCAGUAGAACUCCAAGACCAGGGUGUGCCCCGAAGGGAAGAAAGGUGCACCCUUCCAGUCACUGCACACCUCAGGGUAGCAUCAGAGCGUGUAACAACUACAACCACCAUUCUUGCUACUAUCACUUCAAUCCUCUCCACUGCUCUCCCCGCUUGCUGCACACUUAUUUGAGAAUCUGCACCAAAAAAAAAUAAAAAAAAUUCUAGGAUUAAAUACUGACCCUCUCAAAUAAAGUGGCAACCCUAUGGAAGAUGCAUCAUCAUACAAGCAGAGAUGACCCAAACAGCAGCAAUGAGGGAAUGGUGAGAAAUUCUAAAGGUUGGUAUAUUGAGAAGUUUAUUAUUUUGACAUCUAGGGCAGAAUAAAAUAUUAUUCUAAUCCCAGAAUACCAUACAGCCCCCUCAGAAUAAAAUCAGUUUGUCAAGUUUUAUACAAUAAAGUUUGGCCAUAUAACAAUACAGCACUAUAGAGCUCCAUAUUUUUUCAUAACAGGUUGCUAUUCCCUGUUUUACCUGUGGGAGUGCUGUGGGCAAAAUGGACACAAUCGUCAUCAGUGAUUACCUGAUAAGGAAAUACAGAGUAUUUGACACCUUACUAGAGCAGGACUGUUACUCAUCUGAGACCUUGUUUCUCAGCUAUGUGAUGCUGCCAGCACUAUGGAGGAAAUCUAUGCCAAGAAGAAAGCACCUGUGUUGAUGUAAA